rnacentral:sRNA from 1 species
AUUGCACACCACCCCCAGAUGUCAGCCCUGAUCACUGACGAAGAUGAAGACAUGCAGAGCUACAUGAUCCACCUGGAGGUGGAAGAAGUGAAGCAUCCAGUUCAUCUGUGCAAGAUCAUGUUGUUGUUUCAGAGUAACCCUUACUUCCAGAAUAAAGUGAUUACCAAGGAAUAUCUGGUGAACAUCACAGGUGAAAGGUGGCUCCCAGGAUGGGUAGUGGAAGGAAGAUGGUGGGUGGAUCAUUGCCAAUGUGAUCCAGCCCCCUUCCCGCAAAAAUUCCUGUCUCUGUAGAAUACAGGGCUUCUCAUUCCACUCCAAUUGAUUGGUAUCCGGAUUAUGAAGUGGAGGCCUAUCACUGCAGACACCACAACAGGAGCCUGAAUUCUUCAACUGGUUCUCUGACCACAACUUCGCAGGAUCUAACAGGACUGCUGAGGUAAGUCCUCACUGGGAAACAUGAGGAAUGACCCCGUGUGUUCCCAGCUGCUUGGGUCACCAUUCUGAGUCCUGAUGAGGCCUUUCCUGAUGGAUUCCCCUGACAGAUCCUAUGUAAGGACCUGUGGCGCAAUCCCCUGCAAUACUACAAGAGGAUGAAGCCACCUGAAGAGGGAACAGAGAUUUCAGAAAUUCCUUGAGAGGAAGACAGAGUGUGACAGAAUCCAGGACAUUCAUGGCACUGGGCUGAAAAAGGCACAUUAGAGACUGCACUGCAAAGCACGUUAUAGCUGUGAAGUCUUAAGCCCAGGGAAGCAUCAUCCAUUUCCGGAAUCACUGAGAAGAAAAGCUAAAAAUCCUUCACUUCAGUCUGUGGCACUUGAUUCCAUAGCCGUCAACCCCACCGGCAGUCAUCCUACCAACCCCAUAAGAUUGGGCUCCCUGAAUGUGCGUCCUGGUCAUCCUUGCCCCAAACCACAAAGGACUGUUUAGAUUGAUGGAUUUCCUUAAGCUGUUGCCCCAUCAGAUUUCUGUGUGCUUUUAGGGUACAGUGCAUCUUGUUAGCUGACUCCCCUCACAGAGAAUACUGGGAAUGGGGCAGGGAUUGCACAGAACAGUUUGUAACACGUGGUAGAAGGAAGUUUAAGGGAUCACAAAUGGGGAAGAGAUAUCCUUUUCUCAGCGGGCCCUACAAUUGAAACAUUUCAAAGUAUGGCUCAGAGAAAAUGCAUUUUGACAUGCGUUUGUGUUUCUCCAGGGUACUCCCAGAUGUUGAGUUGAGUCUCUCCCCGAUGUUGAGUUGAGUUGAGUAUGAUGGAGCAUCACACUUUACCUAAAGCAGCAGAACUCCUGAAAAGUUACUACGGUAUGCAGGAUGUCAGUAUUCAGCAUGGUCUUAUGCACAGGAACUAAAGGAAAAACAGAUCGAGUCACAGAAAAUCAGACAGGAAGAGGGGGUAAACUUGGAUUGUAUGGAAUGAAGAAUAAACAUUCUCAAGGAUAUGUG